GGAGGAAGGUGGGGAUGACGUCAAGUCCUCAUUGGCCCUUAUGGGUAGGCUUCACACGUCAUACAAUGGUCGGUACAGAGGGUUGCCAAGCCGCGAGGUGGAGCCAAUCCCUUAAAGCCGAUCGUAGUCCGGAUCGUAGUCUGCAACUCGACUACGUGAAGUCGGAAUCGCUAGUAAUCGCAGAUCAGCAUGCUGCGGUGAAUACGUUCCCGGGUCCUU
rnacentral:rRNA from 1 species